CCACUCCUCUGUUCAAGAGAUGGAUUGCAUGCUUGGUCAAAGAGGACGACCUUCCCUGAUAGAGGAGGUCCCUUCUUUGGUCAAGGGUGUAUGAGUAGCUGCACUCCCCUGCUAGAAUUUCCAGACAAGCUCUCAAGAAGCAGAGCCUAAC
ensembl:misc_RNA 7SK 7SK RNA